rnacentral:rRNA from 1 species
GUCGAGCGAACGGACGAGAAGCUUGCUUCUCUGAUGUUAGCGGCGGACGGGUGAGUAACACGUGGAUAACCUACCUAUAAGACUGGGAUAACUUCGGGAAACCGGAGCUAAUACCGGAUAAUAUUUUGAACCGCAUGGUUCAAAAGUGAAAGACGGUCUUGCUGUCACUUAUAGAUGGAUCCGCGCUGCAUUAGCUAGUUGGUAAGGUAACGGCUUACCAAGGCAACGAUGCAUAGCCGACCUGAGAGGGUGAUCGGCCACACUGGAACUGAGACACGGUCCAGACUCCUACGGGAGGCAGCAGUAGGGAAUCUUCCGCAAUGGGCGAAAGCCUGACGGAGCAACGCCGCGUGAGUGAUGAAGGUCUUCGGAUCGUAAAACUCUGUUAUUAGGGAAGAACAUAUGUGUAAGUAACUGUGCACAUCUUGACGGUACCUAAUCAGAAAGCCAUGGCUAACUACGUGCCAGCAGCCGCGGUAAUACGUAGGUGGCAAGCGUUAUCCGGAAUUAUUGGGCGUAAAGCGCGCGUAGGCGGUUUUUUAAGUCUGAUGUGAAAGCCCACGGCUCAACCGUGGAGGGUCAUUGGAAACUGGAAAACUUGAGUGCAGAAGAGGAAAGUGGAAUUCCAUGUGUAGCGGUGAAAUGCGCAGAGAUAUGGAGGAACACCAGUG